CGUGUUGUUAUUCCGAGCUGUUUAUGCGGCUGCGAAAAUGUGUGGGGCUGUGCUUUGAUGCUGCCUUUGAUUUUGAGUUGAGGCGAAAAGAACUUAUGAGGCGUUUGGAUUAUGGAAUUUGCGUUUUGAGGAUAUGGGCGCAGAAGUUACGAAGAGUUUAUUUAUUUGUUGUUG